AAUACUGCUGAUUUUAUAAGUUAUGAGGGGCGGUUUGGUAGCUUAGUAGUUAAAGCGUUGUCUCCUCACGCCGAAGACCCGGGUUCGAAUCCCCACAUGGGCAAAAUGU